rnacentral:rRNA from 1 species
GACAGGGGAUGCAAGCGUUAUCCGGAAUGAUUGGGCGUAAAGCGUCUGUAGGUGGCUUUUUAAGUCUGCCGUCAAAUCCCAGGGCUCAACUCUGGCCAGGCGGUGGAGACUAAAAAGCUGGAGUAUGGAAGAGGUAGAGGGAAUUUCCGGUGGAGCGGUGAAAUGCGUAGAGAUCGGAAAGAACACCAAGGGCGAAGGCACUCUGCUGGGCCGAAACUGACACUGAGAGACGAGAGCUAGGGGAGCAAAUGGGAUUAGAUACCCUAGUAGUCCACACCCUGACCUAUGAGUGUUGAAUGUAAGAUUUUUUUUUGUUCAAGCUAACGCGCAAACACUCCGCCUGGGUAGUACGAUCGCAAGGUUGAAACUCAAAGGAAUUGACGGAGAUCUGCACAUGCGGUGGAACAUGUGAUUUAAUGCGUAACUACGCGCAAACCUUACCACUACUUGUUUGGAAUUUAAGUGUGUUUUUGUAUAUGGGUUUUAAUCAGGUGUUGCAUGGUUGUCGGAAGUCCGUGUUGAGAAAUGUUAGGUUAAUUCCCUUAACGGACGUAACCUUUACUUUAAUUAUGUUAUUUUAAAAAAUGAAUUAAAUUUUGUUAUUAUUAUGUCUUGAAGUCACCGCCUAUUGAUUAUAGGAGGAAGGUGAGGAACAAGUCAAAUCUUUAUGGCCUUAAUGUCUUGGGCUAUCCACGUGUUACAUUGGUUGUUACAAUGAGAAGCGAAAAAGUGAUUUUAAGCAAAUCUAUAAAAAUGAGCCGCAGUUCGAAUUGUUUUCUGAAACUUGAAAACAUGAAGCAGGAAUCGCAAGUAAUCGUUAAAAAGAACGUUACGGUGAAAAGUAGAACUGAUCU